CGAAUGUAAACAGAGGAGACAGAGUUUAUUGAGAGAAGGAGGGGCUAAGGCAGGCUCGUCCUUUAAUUGAAUAGGAGAAUCGCUGACUGUAUUAAGACCGAUGCUUGCCUUAGUACUCGACUGUGUUGGUUUUUCUGUUCGGGUGUUUUGGUCGCUGUUUACAAAUAAUACAACCAAAUAAUAUCAGUUUUGAAGUCGUCCGCAAUUCUCAGAUAUCCCUGCUGUGUAAGAGUGCCGGCAGCUGCAGUGAGUGAUCGACAGGACUGGAGAGCUGUGAGUUUGAUUAGGACCUGCAUUUCAGACAGUAACCGCACAACCCAGGACCUGUCAUGGAUGACUUUGAACGCCGCAGAGAACUGAGGAGGCAAAAGCGCGAAGAGAUGAGGAUUGAGGCUGAAAGGCUGGCGUUUCAGAGGACUGAUGAGGAUGACGAGGAAGCUGCCCGUGAGCGUCGGCGCAGAGCCCGUCAGGACCGCCUGCGCAACAAGGAGGAAGAGGAGGAGACGAGCAACGUGAGCUGUGACAAAGUGGAGAUCAACAACCAGAACAGUGUGGCGGAGGAAGAGCAGCAGAGUAUCGCUGUGAGCCCCCCUCCCCCCCAAACCCAAGACGAGUCUUCUCUCCAGGAAAAGCUGGACAAGCGCGAGGAGCGGCGCCAGAAGAGACUGCAGGAGGCGCUAGAGAGGCAGAAAGAGUUCGACCCCACCAUCAGCCUCCCCAAGGCGAACCACCGUGAGGAGGAGGAGGAGGAGGAGGAGAGGAGGGGCCGGUACCAGCAAGAGGAGGAGAAAACCAACCAGCGCAAUGCCUGGAGGGACAAAGAGGAGGAAGAGAAGGUAGAGCCAGCCCAGGAAGAGGAGCCAGAGGAACCGCAAGAGGAGCCAGAGGUGGAGGAGAAGCAGGAGGAGGUGAUAGUGGAGAAACCGAGACGAUCUUACAUGACUACAGAGGUCGUCAUCGAGGAGAAGCCGAAGCAGUUUUCCAGGAGAGAUGAGGAAGUGAUUGAGGAUAAACCGAAGAGGUCAUACGAGAGAGCGGAGGAAGUGAUUGAAGAAAAGCCUAGAUCUUACAAGGAAGAAGAGGUCCGGGUGGAGAGGAAGCGCAGGGAGGUUGAGGUGAUCAGCACUCCAGAGCCCAAGCAUCAGAACGGGGGAGACUUCCAUGAAGACACCCCUGACAGGCACAAGAAACCCGAGCGGAGCCUCAGCCGUGGCGGCUUGCGCUCGAUCCCGGAUCCCGUGGAAUCGGAACAGGACUCGGACGCGGCGCGCCAGGAAGCGGAGCACAAGCUGGAAGUGCUGCGUCGUCGGAGGGACGAGACGGAGAGCGAGGAGUUCCACAGGAUGAAGCUGAAGCAGCAGGAAGCAGAGCAGGAGCUGGAGGAGCUGAAGAGAAAGAGGGAGGAGAGGAGGAAGGUGCUGGAGGAGGAGGAGCAGCUCAGGAAGCAGGAGGAAUCCCAGAAGAAAGCCAGGGAGGAGGAGGAGAAGAGGAGGAUGAAGGAGGAGAUUGAAAGGAGACGCGCAGAGGCAGCUGAGAAGAGACAGAAGAUCACCGAGGAGGUUUCCCCUGACGGGGAGGGCAAGAAGCCGUUCAAAUGUGUCAGCCCCCGGGGGUCUUCACUGAAGAUUGGCGAGAGGGCAGAGUUUUUGAACAAAUCAGUCCAGAAAAGCAGCAGCAGUGUUAAGAGCUCGCACCCGAUUCUACAGGUCUCCAAGAUUGACAACAAGCUGGAGCUGUACACCUCCGCUGUGCAGACCAACAAGGAGAUCAAGCACCCCAAGCCGGGGGCGUCCGACCUGUCUGUGGUGGGGGAGGGGGUCCGUAACAUGAAGAGCAUGUGGGAGAAAGGGAACGUCUUCAGCUCUCCCGGGAGCCCUGGAGCCCCCAACAAGGAGACAGCUGGCCUGAAGGUCGGGGUGGCCAGUCGGAUUAACGAUUGGCUCAACAAGACUCCGGACAGCAAAACAGCCGGAGGGAAGCCCGCGGAUCUGAAGCCUGGAGAUGUAACCAACAAGCGCAGCUUAUGGGAAAACAAACCUUCUUCCCCAGAUAAAUCAACCACCCGUGCCAAGAUUUCUCUUAGCUAGUUGGCUUCAUCCCUUUCUCAUGAUGUGCAGAAGAGGUAACAGCUGGAGGGAGGGAAAAAAUCAGAUACCAACGGAUUGGGACACCGACCCUAAGAGAUGUUUGAGGAGAAUGGAAGAAACAUACGUCAAUACGUCAAAGUGCUCGACUCUCCUUUUUUCUAUUUAUAUUUUAAUACCAAAAAUCUUUUUGCAAUAGCCCAGGAAAAAAGAAAAAGAAAAAAAAUGAUAUUAGCUCAAAACGGCCACAGUUUUAUACAGUCAUGUUUAAAGUAUACAGCCUUUGCACAAGACCUUUUUAAUUUCUUUAAAAAAAAUAUGCUGUGAAAUUUGAAACGUUUAUAUCGAUAUCAAGUCAUUUUAUUAUUUUUUUUGAUUGUUUGUAUUUUAUUUCAUGUUACGAACUGCAGAAAGGAAAGACGACAAUCGCUAAAGGGCUGUUUUUUUCACUGCAGUGUCAGACAGACAGACGUUUGAAUGCUGAUCCGAUUCUCUAUUGAACAAGGAGAUUGUUCCUCUUUCCUUUCUGCAGUUGGGAAUAACUUUUAAUACAGCGAGUUUAUCUUGCUAGCAAAGUAAAAUGCUGAUCGUGGUACUGAUUACAGUGGUAAAGAUUAGAAGACAUUAUAAGAGGUGGUCAGAGGUUUCAACACACAUGCACACAUUGCUUUGAGAGGUUUAGUUUAAACGGCACUUUUUAUUGGCAGUAGAACGCUCCAAUGUAUGUUAGGACAUAUAUCUAGUAAUAAAUAUUUACACUAUAGUCUAUUUCACAGCUUGUUAUUUCAGAUGUCAUGUUUUGUUGUAACAAAGAUACAUACCUGAAGCUAUCAAUGGAAGCACUGCAAGACACAUUUCACAUUUUUGGUCAUUAUUAUGUGUUGGGUUGGCCAUAUACAUGAGAAAACACUGCAAAAAUAAAUGCAAUAAAAUGGGGCGGGGGGCAAUGUGUAAUGGGGUAGCAAGCCAUUCAGUGCCAUCCUUGCAAAGUGUGCUUGUAAUCAAGGAAGACAGUAUCGGAGGGGGGAGAGAGAGAGAGAGAGAGAGAGAGAGAGAGAGAGAGAGAGAGAGAGAGAGAGAGACCCACAAGAUUGCAAAUGAACUGUACAGCUCUGGCCCAACGUUUUGCAUCACCUAGUAUUUUAGAAUUGAGACAUAAUUAUUAUUAUUAUUUUUAAAACUAUACAAACAUACUUUAGAUGUUUUAUUUAACAUCAUGUAAUCAAAGAAACUACAAAAUGAUAUCGCACAAGGCUACCGGACUACCCUUCCUCAAGAAACUUUUGCAGACGGAUUAAUCUGACCUAAAUUAUUAAAAUUACAUUUCGAAUCAAUAAAAGAAAACAACAUCAUUGGUUCAUUUGCAACUUGAAUUAAGAACCCAUGAUAAUGAUAACGAAAAAUGUAAUCGCCCAAACAGUGAUCUUACACAGAAGUUUGAUCUUGCGGGGUGUACACUAACUGCCGUUGGUCUGCAGGUUUGAAUUUGCAGGUCACUUUGGUUGUCUGAAGAGCCAGUCACCAUAGCAGCACACUUUUAAGGUUCAACAAAUAAAAAAUCUACCUACGCAAGAUUAAAAACUGGUUCACGUAAAACAACCGUUUUUUGAAUGGCGGCCCUAGCAAUUCCUGGCAGUAAGAUCAUUUGUAUGAGCAAGGCCUCAACUGUGGAUCACAAGUGAAUGCAGGGACUAUAGCAGUGUGGCAGUGGGGAUAUGAUGGGUUUACCACUGCCAGUUGUCAUUUGAACCUGUGCCUAGACAAGGAAAGGGAAACGGAAAGACACCGAGACAAAAGAUGCUUCGGAUGCUUCUAGUGGUGGUGUUGUUUUUUGAAGUGAUGUUGUUUUCUUUUCAUUUGUACUUCUCUUUUUUGUUUUCAUAUAAAAACGCAACUGCACUCGAAAUAUUGUAGAGGGCUGAAAACUAGCCUAUGCAAAGCCUUUGUCUUUGCAUCGUCUGCAAAUGCUGCCAUUUUUGUAAACGCUGGGUAUUUGCAGUGUGGAAGAUAGCUUCAUGCAGAGUAUUUGUUUAAGCAAUGUAUCGUGAAAAAACAGCCACCACAAUAAAUCGCUAAUGUCCAAGAA